UUUUUUUUUUUUUUUUUUGCUGUUGAAGAAAAGGGCAAAUAGCAUAACCCUCUGAAUCCACAGAUCAUGAAUGAGUUAAAACAUCAGUUGUCAGCACAGGAAACCAGUCAGAAGGGCAAUCUGGCACAAGGGCUGAAGCUGUCAGUCACAUUAAUGGAAUAAAGAAGAGUAUACAAAUGUCUUUGGAUUCCACAAUCAAAUUGCCUCUUUCUCCCAUGACAGCUCAAGGAACGCUCUUAGGAUCAGAUACGGGCCCCAGAACAGUUGGAAUUGGAGACUCAGAGGGAGAAGCACAAGAUGAGAAAAUAUUUAGAAAGCAUCUUGCAGAUACCAUCCUCCUUAAGUGCUUCAUAAUCAUAAUGUUAUGGUUGAGUGCCUAUCAAAUUAUAGCUGAAGACCAAGCAAAACACAGACCUUUUUCAGAUCAGUCACUUAAUUGUCUGAUAGGGCAAAGGAUAAAUUCUUGAAAAUGUCAGGUAUUCAAUAAGUCAUUUUCUUAGAGAGAGAGAAAAAACAUCCUUCCAGAAUUCAGGCUUAUUACCUAAGAUAAAAGUCAUGGGUCAUGUCCAGCAGGAAUUUAUAAAGACAAGCACAAAUGUUGCAAUAUUAGUCCCCAAAGCUCCAUAAUCAAACCAAGGAAUUUUUAGCUGCUCUGCCUCAUUUGGCUAUGUUCCCCAAAUGUCAUGCUACCGAGAAGCCAAAGACACCAUGGCGAAUUAUUUUGAGUGGGCUUUUACACAAAACACUGAGAGCAGGUAGAUUGUAGCUAUGGAAAGAUGGGAAGAACAGCUAAGUUGAACAAAUAAAUUGACAAAUCCACUUUUGAAUCCCAGGACCACCUUUUGCCAGCUCUGUGACUUUGGGCAAGUUAAUUAACACUUCUGGACUUCAAGUCUCUCUUCUGAGUGAUGGUAGUAAUAACACCUACCUCAUAGGUUAAUUGUAAGAAUUAAAACAGGUAACACUGUAGAACAUAACACCUGGCACAUGGUGGGUAAUCAGAGCAAUCUCUAUUCCUUAGUAUAGCCAAGAACUAAAUGUCAAUAUAUAGUUUGCUUUUCAUCAUACUUUACUCAUUUUCCCCAUUGGACUGGAGAGGCAAUGCCACGGAAUGGUUAAAGCACACAGUCAACGAAGUUGAAUCGCUGGGGCUCAAAGCUUGGUUUUAUUGAUUGCUAGCUGUGUAACUUUGGAUCUUUCACUUAACCUCUUUGUGACCCAGUUUCCACUGAGGAUGAACUGAAUAUAGGCACUUGGAACAGUGUCUGGCACAUAGUAAACACUAUAAGAUUUAAUUACUCUCAUUAUCACUAUUGUUGUUAUCUGUAACCCAGAUAAAAUAUCACUUCAAGGAGCGUAUUUCAAUUAAGUUUUUCCCUCCAUGUCUUGGAACAUGUACAUUUUGAAUCACUUUGGAAAUUUUUUUAAAAUUCUUGUGGCAGAUAGUAUUUUUCCAAAGACAACACCAACAAUAGCUGCCAUCUUACAAGCUCCUCUACAAAGUGACCUGUCCCUUUUCCAUCAAUAGGCGGUCCCUCCCUCCCCUUGAAUCUGGGUAGGCUUUGGAUUGCUUUGGCCAACGGAGUCGUGUUGGGAAGGACACUAAGGGUCAUAACAGGUGAUGCAGCACCUGCCUUUUCUGCUGGAAUGCUUGUGUUUAGGGCCCUGGGGCCGCCGUGCUGUGAGGAAGCCAAACCACAUGGAUGGGCCCCAUGUAGGUGCUCUGUUCAGCAUUCCUGGCCUUCAAGUCAUCUUUGCCCAGGAACCAAGUAGGGAGUGAAGCAGCCUCCAGAGGGGUCCAGCUCUCGGCUUUUGAAUCAUCUUCAAUUUCUAAGCCUUCUUAGCUGAGAUCUCUGACAUUGUGGAAUAGAAUCAAUGCAUCCCAUUUGUGCCCUGUCCAAACUUCUGACCCACAGAAUCCAUAAGCAUAUUAAAAAUGGCCGUUAUAGUCAUGGAGAACAGACUUGUGGUUGCCAAGGGGGAAGGGGAAGGGAGUGAGAUGGACUGUGGGUUUGGGGUUAAUAGAUGCAAAUUAUUGCAUUUCAAAUGGAUGGGCAAUGGGGCCCUGUUGCAUAGCACAGCAAACUGUGUCGAAUCUUUUGGGAAAGACCAUGAUGGGGGAUGAUAUGAGAAAAAUCAAUCUCGGUCACUUUUCUAUAUAGCAGAAAUUGACACGACAUUAUAAAUCAUUUACACCUUAAUAAAAAAACAUAAUAAAAAUGGCUGUCAUGUGAAGCUGCUAGAUUUUGAGAUAGUUUAUUAUGCACAGUAGUAACUGGAACACUUUCUUUCAAGGAUAAAUUUCCAUUAUUUUAAACUUUUCCAGAGUUACCAUGUGAAAAUCAUUUCUAACAAUCUAUGGGAGUAACUUGAAAAAAUAGAUAUUUUAAGCUAUACUGUUCUUUUAUGAGUUGAUGGGCAGGGCAUGAGACUGGUGUUCGCAUAUUACAUGUCAAAAAAGGUUGGCAUGGUUUUCCUCCUGCAACACAUUAUUUUUCUGGAACUAGGGCUCCCAAGAAGAAAUUUUUUUUUUUUUGUAACUGGAGCAACGAAAUUCUCUCUGGUGUUUCCUAACUCCAAAAUAGAAAUCAUUUAGAAAUGUUCAAACAGCUGUAUUCAAUUAUCACUGCGCAUUUUAAAUAGCUAGCGGUCUCAGAUACAGAAUUAUUCACAGCCACUUGUGAAAGCGGUGAAAUGGUCUCUAUCAACUAGCACUUAUACAUGUAUUUGAAUUCCUCUGCAUCAGCUGUGCCACUCUCUUCACAACAUCGCCGUGAAGAGGCCUGUCUUAUAUUUUGAAAGUUGUAAUCCUUGCAGCCAGGGAGAGACCCAAGACACCCAAAGAUAAGGUUUGCUCUGUGUUAAGUAAGGACAUGGAAUCCCAUGUCUUAAAGGAAACUUUCCUGAGGACAGCCAUCUGUCCUUGGUCCUGUUUAGUUUUGUUUUGUUUUUCAGGCUAUCCUGAUUUCAAACCAGAAGCUCUAGUAAGAGCUGACCUGAAACAUUUCUAUACUGUCAGCCUGGACCACCUUCUUACAGGCUGCUCCCUUCUGUCCCAGUGUUUAGAGGCUGUGUGCUGACAGGGGGGAACAUAGGAGGCCAGGGUGCUGAGCCAUGACAGAACACAACCUGCCACAUGGUCUGAAAAUUCUCCAGCUUCACUUCUUAGGUCUUUGAGCCAUUCUUCCCUGGAAGAAACUGCUUUUUGCCAGGCCCCCUCCCCAGGUCCUUCUACUGUGCAAACUGCUGCCCUAGGAAGCCCCCAGGGCCGCUGCUUACAUCAGGUGCUUUGCUGUUAGAGGCACCUGCAUUUGAUUUCUGGACCCUCCACCUACCAGCCAUAGGACUUUGGGCAAAUUAAUGAAAUUCUCUGGGUCAUCAGUUGAUUGACCUUAAAAAUGCAGACAAUAGUAUACCUACCUUGCGAGAUUCCCCUAAGGGGGAAAAAAAAGACAUCAUAAGCACCUAGAACAGUGCUACAAUGUAACUGAACGUUCACUGCAUAUCAGCUAUGAUUUAGGAUAAAUGAAUGUAUAUCACAGAUAUUAGAACAAGAACUUUAGAGUCCAGAUCCAUCUUCCUAAGCUGUCCUUUGGAAUUCCAAGUUAUUCCAGGACUGCUAGGAAUAGGCAGAGGGUUCAAAGUCAGUAAAAAUACCCCCAGAGAUCAAUUAAGGCGAGAACAGCAGACUUUGCUGAGGACCGGUCCCUAACCGGGUCAAGAGUGAUGGUUUAAGAGGUGGUGCAUGUUAGCAGUGUUAGCUGCAGCAUCCAGCAGUGAGAGGCAGUGAGAAUGAAGGGCUUUUAGAGAGGAUCUUCCCACAGGCUGGAGAAUCCAGAUCCACCCUUGCUUUCCACUCAUCAUAGUAAGGAAAUGCCCUGAGAGUUUAUUCAUUCCCAGCUGCCAUGGGAAUGGCUACCUGGUUCAAAGGCACCCUUGUCCUUUAGGGAGACCAGUGUAUCACACUUCAUGUUUAUGUAAGAGGCCAGACCUAAGAUCCAAGUGGCACAAGUGUCCCAAAGCAGCACAGAAGCGACUCCCGAGCCCUGGGAAGGAACGUUAAGGAGGGUGACAUUUGUCUAUAACUUUCCACCCCUUUGCUCCUGCUCUGUCCCUCCUCAAUGCCAGGAGGGCUGUCCCUGCAUCUGUCACCAGCACCACCAGUGGAACCCCACUCUCGUCUUCCCUCCUCUUCCAAGACAGCUCCUCUUCAGCUCUCAACAGAGCAAUGCUCUCGUGACACCUUAUAUACCGUUGUUAUUUGGUUCGUCUAAUACACAGUCAGCUGUGAAUGACCAACUAGUCUUGGGACUUAGAAAUCUAGUGGGACGUAUUUAACUGUAACCUCCGCCCAAAAGAUAUAUCUAAGUCCUAACCCCAGACCUGUCGAUAUGACCUUAUUUGGCAAAGGGGUCUUUGCAGACAUGAUGAAGUGAAGGAUCUUGAGAUGGCAUCACCCUGGCUUAACGGAGUGGGCCCUGAAUCAAAGCCUAAGUGUCCCCAGAAGAAGGGGAGAAGAUGGGGAUACAAAAGAGUGGGACUCGUGAAGACAGAGGUUGGAGCAGCGCAGCCAAGCCACAAGCCUGGAACCACUGGAAGCUGGACUUGGCAAGGAAGAAUUCUCCCCUGGAGCCUCUGGGGGAGCACGGUGGCCUGCUGACACUUCAAUUUUGGAUUUCUGGCCUCCAGAACAGUGAGAGAAUAAGCUUCUGCUGUUGGAAGCUGCCCACUUGUGAUCAUUUCUUUUUUCUUUUUUUUGUCUUUUUAGGGCUGCAGGUGCAACAUAUGGAAGUUCCCAGGCUUGGGGUCAAAAUGGAGCUGCACUGCCAGCCUAUACCACAGCCAUAGCCACAGCAACACCAGACCCGAGCUGCGUCUGUGACCUAUGCUCAGUUGCAGCAAGGCCAGAUCCUUAACCCACUUAGUGAGACCAGGGGUUGAAGCUGCA
ensembl:lncRNA